UUUGCUAACUAAUGUAAUCCAGCAAACCUGCAAACAGUUGCAGUUGAAGAGAGGUAUCGGAAGAAAAGCACAGAGGACAAACAUCUAUUCCGCAGAAAAAAAAGAAAUGGAAAGACGUGAGUGUGAGCGAAUUGAGAUGUACAGGAGUCAGAAUAAAGUCCGGAAAUUCUACCGAAGAAUUAGACAUCAAACCGAUGGCUUUGGUGCAGGCACAUCCUCCUGCGGACACAAAAAAGAAAAACAGCUAACUGACACAGAUAGUAUGCUGAGGAUAUGGAAAAUACAUUUUUAUACCCACCACCGAAGGUGGGUAUAAAAUUUUGUCAUUCUGAUUGCAACACAUCGAAAUAUUCAUAUCUGACCCUUUAAGGCAGCAAGUUCCGUCUAAGUAUUUCAACCAACAUGAUAUUUGAAAGAGGUUCCUUCAACCUGUCUCUCUCUAAUAUCGACGUCCGAUCUUGAAUCACUAUAUUGCUGCCUCAAGGCACGGCACAAAUCAUUCCAACUAACUGAAGAAAUCGAUGGUAACGCCAGAACCAGUCUGCUGCCUUGGCCUCAAAAGUGAACUAGCAUUGCGACACAAUAGGUCGAAAUCACCUUGGAGUGUUUGUGAAGUUAAAGCUUCCACUCUAUAUAUAAAAUUUUCAACGGAUAUAUUAUUCGGGCUUCCGGUAAAUUUCAGUCUCCAAUUUGAAAUAAUGUGAAGAACUUAUCAGGUCUAGAAUUCAAGUCAGAUGAAGAAUUAUUGGAAAUAGACGGGCCUGAACGACUUGUAUUGAGAGGGGCAUGACCAUGAUUCUGAGAAAUUCCGAAUAACUCCCUAAAAGCACGUUCCUCGACAGCUGGUAAAGUAUGCAUCUGCCUUGGCGAUGUAUGCUGAGAAGCCGGCUGUACAACAACUGGAGAAUUCGACUGACCGUUUAGAUUCAUUCUUGAAAAUAUUGACUCCAUAUUACUCUGAACUAAUCUGGAUAUCUGGUCAGCUAAGCCGAACAAAAAUUGCGUCUGUUGAGCUGAUAUAAUAAAAGAUACUAUCUCUUGAAGCUCAUUCGGGUUGGUA